rnacentral:lncRNA from 1 species
UUAAGAAUCCCAAUUAUUAUUUUUCUGCUUCUGCCCCACCAUGAAUUAUUUUCUUCUAUCUACCUAAGAUAAAACCUGAAUCUAGCCCAGUGGGGAGAAUGAGAAGUUAAAGGUCAUCGGCUUUCCCCCAACAAAAGUUACCUUCUAUUCCUCCUAAAGAUCUGACUUUUAAACUUUUAUUUAUAGGAACACAAGGAACCUUGAAGAUUUAAAAAAAAAAUGCUGAACGCCUAAUUUUCCAGCCUUUGUUAGAGGGCAUACCAAAGAAUAGGUGGAGGCCGAGCAUCAUCUUUCAGGGGAGGAGAUGGAUCUUCAGUGAAUUAAGAGACUUUCAAUCAUUUCUAUUGAAAAAAAAAAAACAGAAUUAAACAGAAAAUUUUAUCUUCAAAAACAAGAUUCAAGAGUAGUAUAGAAAGUCCCUCUACCACCCAUUGAACAGGCAAGCAAUAUGAUAGCAGAUACAUGUGAAAUUAUGGAAAGCUUAUUUCUAUGUUGUUAAAAAACAAAAAACAAAACAAGAAAAAUGAAGUGAAAAAUUGUAUUUCAAUCUACACCCAGAAUUCAUCAGUUCUCUCUUUGAAGGUG